CCUGUGUCCUCCUCGUCCGAAUUUUGCCAAAAUUGACGCUUCCCGUGCCCUAGGGCGUCAUCGCCAUCUCGCCGGAGUUCCGCUGCUUGAGGUUUCUGCCGGCGUCGUUUGGGUCGCCAUUUAAGGGGACACAUCUCUUCGAGUGCUCAAACCUCGAACAGGAGCAGAACGACGCCGUUGUGCUGUAGUAGCUCACGUCGUUGCCGCCGGCAACAGACGACGCAGUGGACGCCCCCUUCUCGGUGUAGACCACCCCUCGUCGAGCCGCACAUCUCCUCCGCCUUCAUCGACACCGAAGACCAUCGGAACCGCCGCCACAUAGACGUCCGGAGCCACGUCCCGCGCCGUCCUUCCUCAACUCCGCGUCGUGUUCCUGUUCUUCUCCGAUUGUCCGGAGUGUGAAGCGGACCAGAAUUAAUCGUUACUACUUCAACACCGUUCAAGGCAAGUUUGCACUUUUGAUUUUGCUCACCCUGUAUUCUGCUAUGCAUGUGUGAUUUUUAUGCUAUGACAUGUGCUUGGUUUGAUUUGUAUGUCUCUGUUGUCAUAUUCUGAUAUUAAUUGCGUUAUGCGAUGGUGUGAUCAACUUGCUAUGGUAGACACGGGCAUGUGUCGAUUGAUCCAUGGAAGUGGUGAGCGUUUAUAGCUGUAGGCUCGGGAUUUUUUCUCAGGUGAAUGCGUCAAUGGCUGAGCGCUCUAUUGUCCCUAGAGAAUGCGCCAUGGCUGAGCGCACUUGAGUUGUCGGGGCUUUUUCUCAUGUGAAUGCGUCACUGGCUAAGCGCUCUAUUGUCCCUAGAGAAUGCGCCAGGGCUGAGCGCACUUGAGACAUCUUCAAGAUCUUUAUCAUCUGUGUUGUUUGCACCUUGCCUAUGUCGUGGAGGUAGGUGAAGGUAGUUUCACGCGAAAC